rnacentral:rRNA from 1 species
CAGUCGCCACGGUAAUACGAAGGGGGCUAGCGUUGCUCGGAAUUACUGGGCGUAAAGCGUGCGUAGGCGGUUUGUUAAGUCUGCUGUGAAAUCCCCGGGCUCAACCUGGGAAUGGCAGUGGAUACUGGCAAGCUAGAGUGUGUCAGAGGAUAGUGGAACUGCGAGUGUAGAGGUGAAAUUCGUAGAUAUUCGCAAGAACACCAGUGGCGAAGGCGGCUCACUGGCCCGAUACUGACGCUGAGGCACGAAAGCGUGGGGAGCAAACAGGAUUAGAGACCCCAGUAGUCCCUGUCUCUUAUAC